rfam:Bacillus sp. FJAT-27916 Scaffold1, whole genome shotgun sequence.
UUUUGAAAGAAGAAGCACCCGCUUCUCACCUGUAUGGCACUCAUGAUGAGCAGCUGACCGGUUACGAUUAGUUAAUCUGACAGUAUGUCUUAUUAUGGGCGGGUGUGUGUACACCGGUCUUUUUUAUUGCCU